ACCUGCAUUAUUUGACGUUACCUACAGAAGAAGACACCGGCUAACUCCGUGCCAGCAGCCGCGGUAAUACGGAGGGUGCGAGCGUUAAUCGGAAUUACUGGGCGUAAAGCGCAUGCAGGCGGCCUGUUAAGUCAGAUGUGAAAGACCCGGGGCGUUAACCUCGGAAUUGCAUUUGAAACUGGCAGGCUAGAGUCUUGUAGAGGGGGGUAGGAAGUUUCAGGUGUAGCGGUGAAAUGCGUAGAGAUCUGAAGGAAUACCAGUGGCGAAGGCGGCCCCCUCGGACAAAGACUGACGCUCAGAUGCGAAAGCGUGGGGAGCAAACAGGAUUAGAUACCCUGGUAG
rnacentral:rRNA from 1 species